CCAGAUAUUUAACACAAAUUCUUGUGCAGUAUCUUAAUGUUUAUAUUCUAAGCCUUUAUAUAUAAAAAUGUAAAUGAAUUAGUAAAGAGUUAUGUUGUCAAAUUGUAGUAAUUCAAAUUGAAUACUCAUUUCAUAGUACCUAUAAUUAUUACAGGAUCUCUUGAAACAAAUGGAUCGCUUGGGGGUUAGGAUUAUGGUUAGUGUUACAGUUCUAAGCGCUCAAAGAGAUCCUGUAGUAAUUAGAUGCACUAAAUUUAUUCCUAAAAUGUGGAGGAUAGUUGUUACAAAACAAACUGACAGAUAACUAAAUAUUACGCGAAAUGCGAAAAUAUGUUUGGCAACACUAAAGCGAGGAAAAGAUACCCUACAGUCUCAACACUACAUUUAAAUUCCUAAUCUUUAUUUUAUUGUGCAGUUUUUCUAUUUUUCUCCUUCCCUUUUUCCUCAUUAUAUUUAUCCCCAUCACCCAUUAAAGCGGACUCUAAAAAAAACCCACCGGGACCCCCUUGAACCCCUUUGAACCCAUGAAGCCCUUGGACCGCUUGGAUCCCUUAUUAUACUUCCUAAUUACCAAACCCAUGAUAAUAAUUGUUAGGGUCUGCGCCUACAACUAACCUCCUCCCCCCGCAAAUUCCCCGUUCGCCAACAUGCCUACCCCUCCUCCCCCCCCCCCCCCCCUCCCGCGCCCCCCCCCCCCCCCCACCACCACCACACCCGGCGGCGCCCCCCCCAGCCAAGGCCCCCCCGCUUGGCCAGAAUUAACCGGGGAAAGAAGACCCUGCUGAGCUUGACUCUAGUCCGACUUUGUGAAGAGACAUGAGAGGUGUAGGAUAAGUGAGAGAUGCGCGCCGCACCUGCCCCGUUCGCGGGGCCGGGGAAGCCGUUCGAGCAGCGUCGUGUCGCGGUCCGGGACUGUCCUCAGUCCCGGGUCGUCUCGGCGCGGUUCCGAGCGGUCGCUCCCUCGCGAGGUGCCGCGGGUCAGCGGCUGACGCCAGCCACCUUCCCGACCCGUCUUGAAACACGGACCAAGGAGUCUAACAUGUGCGCGAGCCGCGGGGCAGUACGAAACCCGUAAGGCGAAAUGAAGGUGAACGCCGGCGCGGUCCGGCGGAGGUUGGAUCCCGUCCCGUCGGGGCGGGCGCACUACCGGCCGAUCUUCUCCGCCCUGUCGGCGAGGUCGAGCGAGAGCGUGCAAGUCGGGACCCGAAAGAUGGUGAACUAUGCCUGAGGAGGUUGAAGCCAGAGGAAACUCUGGUGGAGGACCGUAGCGAUUCUGACGUGCAAAUCGAUCGUCAAAU
rnacentral:ncRNA from 1 species